GAAAUAAAAAAAAUAAAGCUUCUAACUUUAGUAUUGGAUCUAAAAAAUCCUUAUUUCU
rnacentral:tRNA from 1 species